GGGAAACGAAUUUGGUGUGGAUUUGGUGUUGCGUUUAUGGUGAUGUGGAUAUUUAUAGAAAGUUACGAAAGGAGUGGUUGAAUAGGUGAGAGUUAUGAAAGGAUGGUUUUUCUUUUUUUUUUUUUUUUUUUUGUAGGCUUGCUACCUGCUUCAUUCAUAGCGAAUAUGAACUGAGCUACAGAAGUGGGACAACUGGCUCCGAGAAUCAAAAACGUCCCAAACAAGGUCCGAUAAAAAAAAAAGAAGAAAAAAUUACUGGCCAGGAAUUGUGUAGAGUAUGAGGUUGGGGGGGGGGGGUUUAAUUCUAUUUUUCAUCUCUACUUAUUGCUCUAUCCGCGGUGAAUCGAGGCGAAAGCAAAUUUUCAGUUGAUCAGGAUGAAUUGAAGUAAGAAAUAAGUCAUCCGUCUUCUCCUUCAUUUAUUUGGUGGAUCAAAACGGAUUUGAGAUGGAUUUUAUUUUUCUAUCUUUUCUGUUCUCAUUUGCAUUCCUAUUGGCCAGUUGUUAAAUGCUACUGAUAAUGAGCUGUCUAUGUAGAGUGGGCUACCAUAUUAUUAUGAGUAUAGACUCAUUUGUAUUCAUAUAUUUUCAGUCGUUAAAUGAAGGAUUGUGCGGUUAGGAUGAUAUGAUUCCCUAGGAUUGAGUAAGUGAUUGGUUGAAUAGUAUAAUAUAACGGGUAGAAAUGAUCAAGAGGAUAAAUUUGAUGGUCGAAAAUUUAUGAGUAUCUAGGGGUUUAUACUCAUAAGAGUAUAGUAGCCAAAUUUUUAAAUUUC
rnacentral:lncRNA from 1 species